rnacentral:lncRNA from 1 species
CACCGGUGACGGCGGGACUCUCUGGGAGGCCGGCGGUCCUCGGGUGUAGAGGGAGACAGCUGCCCGGGGGCACGGGCGAGCACCUCUGGGGGUCCCGGAUCCUAGACCCGCGGCCCCGGGGUGGCGGUGACGCCUGGAGUCGUGCGGGCUUGGCUGGGCCGGGCUCUUGGGGCAGCCAGGUGCCGCUGCUGGCGUCUAGGCCACACCACCCUGAACGCGCCGGCUCGCCUCUGAUCUGUUGAAGCUAAGCAGGGUCGGGACUGUUUAGUACUUGGAUGGGAUUCCGCCUGGUAAUAGCGGUACCGUAGGCUUUUGGCUUCCCGCUCCCUCCCUCUUUCCUCCUUUUGUCUCCGUGCUUCCCAACUGCCCCCCGCCUCUGCUCCCGGUUGACCGCCCCCGCGCCCCAGCAGAAGCCCAGGUCCUCCUCCUGAAGAUCCGCCACUGCAGCACCGCCAGGCAGCAGCAUCCCACCUCUUCCGACUCGCGGCAGCCCCACCCAACCCGGGCGGGACGGGACCAACCCCGAGGGUGCAGGCGCGGGUUCCCUGAGGUCCCGGGUGUCUUCACGCUCCCCGGACUCCCAGGCAAUUGUAUUCAUUCAUUCAGCGUCACUGCAACCGUCCAAGCCGGUGGAAGGGGCGAGCAGGGGCAGCGGGUGCCACAGACCCCAGCCAAGACCUCCGCUCCAGAACCCGAGGGCUGCUUUCCCCAGAGGAAGGACAUUUUCUUCGCCAGCCACGAGGAAAACCGUCCCUGUGCACCCUGUUUCCCAAUGCCACCGACUUCGUGUAAACUCCAGUCCGGAGGACAGGAGAGAGACCCAGGCCUCGCCCCGUGGACAGGCUCGGCGCCACGGCUCCCGCCAGACACAGGAGCACACUCUACAAAUCUCGGGGCCCAUCGCAUCAAGGAGACAGAAAGAAGCAAACGAAGGACCUUAUGAAACACACCCCCAAAGCAACCAACCAAUCCAAGAAAAAAAAACACGUCUCAGGGCUCCAUUGGUUUUCCUGGCUGGGGGGCCCUGACCCCCUGUUCUAGCCCGGCCCAAGAACCCUGCACCCCACCCCGGCCUGCUGAAAGGUGCCCUGUCUACCUGAGCAGAGCCUCCCUCUCCAAGGCUCUGUUGCUCUCCCUCU